ACGUCGCAGCAAGCAGCAUUUUGAAGCCCAAUUACAUGUGUUUGGAAAAUCAAAAAGUGCCCGCCUCUGGUAUAAAGGAAAGGCGAGAUUUCUUAACCACGCUACUGAACGGAUUUACACAAGAUUUUUGGUGUAUAUAAUAAACGAAGUACAUGAUGACAUAUGAUUUCUUUCUCCAAAUACGUACAUACAUUCAGCGCGUGGGGAAGCCACGCGCAUCUGUGGCCGGCUAGUAGAAUAUAAAUUUAAACGUUUUAUAAAGGAGUCUGCUGAAUAAAAAAUACAGUAAAAAAUUGAAUAUUAAUUUGUGAUUUGAUUUUUGUAGUCAUUCGUCGAGCUAUCGAUGAAUCGUAAACAUUGCUACCUGUGAUUGCUAGCUGGCAAAGAGCGUUAACUCAUGAUCUCCAUGCAAUAGCUUAUCAGAAAAAAAAUCAAACACUGGCGUGCGUGCGCUGCAACAUGUAUGAACAGCAUUCAAGACACCGAAAAUAAAUAAUCCAAAACAAAUAUUUGAUGUCUGACCGCAAUACAAAUUGCCUGAUUGUUUUCGUUUGAUUGAGCCUUAUUUCGUCUUCUUAUUCGGAACCAGAAAUGAGGUCCUUGAUAACCUCAUUGCUUCUUGCAAUUUACUAUUGGAUUAUAGUGUUUGUUUUUUUGAUGUUGGUCGGAAACUGGACUCGAACCCAUGCCAUGAGGAAUGGUAGCGCACACUGCUAACCACUACACCAAUCGGAACACAAAUUUAAAACAAUGAAUAUUUAUUUAAUUUUAAACUGUAUGAAUUGCACUCCAGUGUAAAUGAGUACCAACAGUGUUUUUUAUUUGGCAACACGAAUUCACCAUAACACAAAAACGCUUAAAAUUGGCGAUAAAAAUAGAAUAAAAUUGUUGUGUUAUAACUCGUACUAUUGUUUUACAGUGUGACGAAUGAAAGCAACAACCGCAGA